AUUGAACGCUGGCGGCAGGCCUAACACAUGCAAGUCGAGCGGAUGACGGGAGCUUGCUCCUUGAUUCAGCGGCGGACGGGUGAGUAAUGCCUAGGAAUCUGCCUGGUAGUGGGGGACAACGUUUCGAAAGGAACGCUAAUACCGCAUACGUCCUACGGGAGAAAGCAGGGGACCUUCGGGCCUUGCGCUAUCAGACGAGCCUAGGUCGGAUUAGCUAGUUGGUGGGGUAAUGGCUCACCAAGGCGACGAUCCGUAACUGGUCUGAGAGGAUGAUCAGUCACACUAGAACUGAGACAAGGUCCAGACUCCUACGGGAGGCAGCAGUGGGGAAUAUUGGACAAUGGGCGAAAGCCUGAUCCAGCCAUGCCGCGUGUGUGAAGAAGGUCUUCGGAUUGUAAAGCACUUUAAGUUGGGAGGAAGGGCAGUAAGCUAAUACCUUGCUGUUUUGACGUUACCGACAGAAUAAGCACCGGCUAACUCUGUGCCAGCCGCCGCCGUAA
rnacentral:rRNA from 1 species